GCAUGCCUACAACAUAGCGUUAAUGCAUUGGAUCCCAUUAUAACUUCAUAGUUAAGCGCACUUAGGCUAGAGUAGUACUUGGAUGGGUGACCGCUUGGGAAGUCCUAGUGUUUUACAUGCC
rnacentral:rRNA from 1 species